rnacentral:rRNA from 1 species
AACGUACGCUGGCGGCACGCCUAACACAUGCAAGUCGAACGAAGUAGCAAUACUUAGUGGCAGACGGGUGAGUAACAUGUAGGUAUCUGCCCUUUGGUUUGGAAUAACACGGGGAAACUUGUGCUAAUACCGAAUAAGCCCUUACGGGGAAAGUUUUAACGCCGAAAGAUGAGCCCGCACUUGAUUAGCUAGUUGGUAAGGUAAAAGCUUACCAAGGCAAUGAUCAAUAGCUGUUCUUAGAGGAAGACCAGCCACAUUGGGACUGAGACACGGCCCAGACUCCUACGGGAGGCAGCAGUGGGGAAUCUUGCACAAUGGGGGAAACCCUGAUGCAGCGAUGCCGCGUGAGUGAAGAAGGCCUUUGGGUUGUAAAACUCUUUCGUCGGGGAAGAAAAUGACUGUACCCGAAUAAGAAGGUCCGGCUAACUUCGUGCCAGCAGCCGCGGUAAUACGAAGGGACCUAGCGUAGUUCGGAAUUACUGGGCUUAAAGAGUUCGUAGGUGGUUGAAAAAGUUAGUGGUGAAAUCCCAGAGCUUAACUCUGGAACUGCCAUUAAAACUUUUCAGCUAGAGUAUGAUAGAGGAAAGCAGAAUUUCUAGUGUAGAGGUGAAAUUCGUAGAUAUUAGAAAGAAUACCAAUUGCGAAGGCAGCUUUCUGGAUCAUUACUGACGCUGAGGAACGAAAGCAUGGGUAGCGAAGAGGAUUAGAUACCCUCGUAGUCCAUGCCGUAAACGAUGUGUGUUAGACGUUGGAAAUUUAUUUUCAGUGUCGCAGGGAAACCGAUAAACACACCGCCUGGGGAGUACGACCGCAAGGUUA